rnacentral:rRNA from 1 species
CCUACGGGGGGCUGCAGUGGGGAAUAUUGGGCAAUGGGCGCAAGCCUGACCCAGCCACGCCGCGUGCAGGAAGAAGGCUUUCGGGUUUUAAACUUCUUUUCUCAGGGACGAAGAAAGUGACGGUACCUGAGGAAUAAGCCACUGCUAACUACGUGCCAGCAGCCGCGGUAAUACGUAGGUUGCAAGCGUUAUCCGGAUUUAUUGGGUGUAAAGGGCGUGUAGGCGGGAGCGCAAGUCAGAUGUGAAAACUCAGGGCUCAACCCUGAGCCUGCAUUUGAUACUGUGUUUCUUGAGUGCAGGAGAGGCAAGCGGAAUUCAGGGUGUAGCGGUGAAAUGCGUAGAGAUAAGGAGGAACACCAGUGGCGAAGGCGGAUUGCUGAACAGCAACUGACGCUGAGGCGCGAAAGCGUGGGGAGCAAACAGGAUUAGAUACCCCUGUAGUC